rnacentral:sRNA from 1 species
ACACAGAAGGUAGGAAUGGAACUGCCUUCUGUGUAUCUUUUUUUUUACAUAACAUAAGGAGGUUAUGA